rnacentral:tRNA from 11 species
CGUCCGAACAAGUGCUCGAACCCUGGACCCUCAGAUUAAAAGUCUGGUGCUCUACCGACUGAGCUAUCCGGGC